rnacentral:sRNA from 1 species
CCCAUCUGCCUUUGCCUCUUGAGUGCUGGUGUUGAAGGCCAUCAGACUUUUGGAGCUGAGGUUAAGGUGCUUGUGAACCUACCUAACAUGGGUGUUGGAGAGCAGACUCAAGCACUGUGCAAGACCAGGUACUUGUGAACCGUUGAGCUCUCUCUCUCCAGCGUUGAUUCCGGCUUCUUUACCUCCAUAUUGAGCAAGAACUAAGCCAUGUGCUGAGAUGGGUGUGGUGGUACACUCCAUCUAUUUCCCAUUGCCUUUCCUUCGACGAAGUCCUAUAUACUUCCCUUUGAUUUCUCAAAUUCAUGACCGCUUUCUGUUCACGUGUUCUUUUCACACAUGUAUAUACAUGCAUACUCCUAAAUACAUAAAUACCGCCUGUCCAGUGUA